rnacentral:rRNA from 1 species
UAGGGAAUCUUCCGCAAUGGGCGAAAGCCUGACGGAGCCACGCCGCGUGAGUGAUGAAGGUCUUCGGAUCGUAAAACUCUGUUAUUAGGGAAGAACAAAUGUGUAAUUAACUAUGCUCGUCUUGACGGUACCUAAUCAGAAAACCACGGCUAACUACGUCCCAGCAGCCGCGGUAAUACGUAGGUGGCAAGCGUUAUCCGGAAUUAUUGGGCUUAAAGCGCGCGUAGGCGGUUUUUUAAGUCUGAUGUGAAAGCCCACGGCUCGACCGUGGAGGGGCAUGGGAAACUAGAAAACUUGAGUGCAGAAGAGGAAAGUGGAAGUCCAUGUGUAGCGGUGAAAUGCGCAGAGAUAUGGAGGAACACCAGUGGCGAAGGCGACUUUCUGGUCUGUAAUUGACGCUGAUGUGCGAAAGCGUGGGGAUCAAACAGG